AAUAAUUCAUUUAGAAACAAUAACAUGCGCGCGCGUGGUAAUUAACGGCCGCGUGACCGCGGCGUGCCGUGGUAACGUAAUCAUUUGACUAGUACUUAUAAUCCGGAAUGAUAGGAAUGAUGACGGUCCAAAUGUCUCUUAUCCUAAAGCCCUUCAACGGAUCUCCUAUGACUGAAGCUACAAUUCCACCAUAAGACCAGAAGACCCUGUGAGUGAAAACUAACCAUUAAACCCCAUAAUGACUACUUUCGGUUGGGUUGACCUUGCAAAAAAGAAGAAUUUCCCUCCAACAUGACUUUAGGCCAUAUUUAUCAUAGGCCCCACCUUAACUAAACGACCACUGAAAGCUGAAAACUGAAACUCGUUACUCCAGGGAUAACAGUUCAUUCUUAUUCAGUAUCCCAUAUCAUACCUACGGUUUCGACCUCGAUGUUGAAUCCCGACAGCCUAAAGGUGCAGCAGCUAUUAAGGUUUCGUUUGUUCAACAACUAAUAUUCCUACAUGAUCUGAGUUAGAACCGGAGA
rnacentral:rRNA from 1 species